AAAUGGGAAAUGACUAGUAAACUGUCAUCACUUUGUAACUCACCAAUACAUUUUGCGUCCCAUCUCUUCUCAUCUCCAAUGGUGGUCUCCAGAGGAAUGGAUGCAGUGCAGUUGUCGUGUCCUGGGCAGGUCUGUUGCAUGUUGGUGGUUGAUGCUGGUUCAAUAUUUGCACCAAGAAGCAUACCAUGCAUACCCUCUGUAGUAAGACUGGUACCCAGGUGACCGACAGCCAUGGCCACAUUUAGCUGUGCAGCUUUACAUCCCCUUCUGGAUCAUCUCACCACUUCAUACAGCUUUUCUCUGUGACUGAUAUAGUGGCACUUCUUAUAUCAGAUGGAAAGGAUCAAUGCAAGGCCUCGUUUUUCCUCCCCAUGCUGAUUCCAGUCCAGUGAAAUAUCACAGUCUGGAAACUUCUGUGCGUAUGAUGCAACUUCCUGGAUGGUGUGUAGUCUGUUCGUCAACAUGUGAAACACGUG